GACGAACGCUGGCGGCGUGCUUAACACAUGCAAGUCGAGCGGUAAGGCCCUUUCGGGGUACGACGAGCGGCGAACGGGUGAGUAACACGUGGGUGACCUGCCCUCAGCUCUGGGAUAAGCCUGGGAAACCGGGUCUAAUACUGGAUAUGACUCCAUGACGCAUGUUGGUGGGGUGGAAAGCCUUGUGCGGCUGAGGAUGGGCCCGCGCCUAUCAGCUUGUUGGUGGGGUGANGGCCCUACCAAGGCGACGACGGGUAGCCGGCCUGAGAGGGCGACCGG
rnacentral:rRNA from 1 species